AUUGAACGCUGGCGGCAUGCCUUACACAUGCAAGUCGAACGGCAGCACGGACUUCGGUCUGGUGGCGAGUGGCGAACGGGUGAGUAAAGCAUCGGAACGUACCCGGAAGUGGGGGAUAACGUAGCGAAAGUUACGCUAAUACCGCAUAUUCUGUGCGCAGGAAAGAGGGGGAUCUUCGGACCUCUUGCUUUCGGAGCGGCCGAUGUCAGAUUAGCUAGUUGGUGGGGUAAAGGCCUACCAAGGCGACGAUCUGUAGCGGGUCUGAGAGGAUGAUCCGCCACACUGGGACUGAGACACGGCCCAGACUCCUACGGGAGGCAGCAGUGGGGAAUUUUGGACAAUGGGCGCAAGCCUGAUCCAGCCAUGCCGCGUGAGUGAAGAAGGCCUUCGGGUUGUAAAGCUCUUUCGGCCGGGAAGAAAUCGCACCAGUUAAUACCUGGUGUGGAUGACGGUACCGGAAUAAGAAGCACCGGCUAACUACGUGCCAGCCGCCGCAGUAAGAC
rnacentral:rRNA from 1 species